UUCGGAUUGUAGUCUGCAACCCGACUACAUGAAGCUGGAAUCGCUAGUAAUCGCGGAUCAGAAUGCCGCGGUGAAUACGUUCCCGGGUCUUGUACACACCGCCCGUCACACCAUGGGAGUCGGAAAUGCCCGAAGUCUGUGACCCAACCGGAAGGAAGGAGCAGCCGAAGGCAGGUCUGAUGACUGGGGUGAAGUCGUAACAAGGUAUC
rnacentral:rRNA from 1 species